GCCUCCUUAGCUCAGUGGUAGAGCGUUGGUCUCGUAAACCAAAGGUCGAGAGUUCAUUCCUCUCAGGAGGCA
rnacentral:tRNA from 1 species